rnacentral:rRNA from 1 species
GGGAGAGCCACGCUUUUGGGUGUGGGGAGACCGGCGAACGGGUGAGUAUCACGUGAGGAACCUGCCCCUAAGAUCGGGAUAACCAUUGGAAACGAUGGCUAAUACCGGAUGUGCUUGAUGUCCCGCAUGGGGUAUUGAGGAAAUGGUCUUCCGCUUAGGGAUGGUCUCGCGGCCUAUCAGCUUGUUGGUGGGGUAAUGGCCUACCAAGGCUUCGACGGGUAGCUGGCGUGAGAGCGCGAUCAGCCACACUGGGACUGAGACACGGCCCAGACUCCUACGGGAGGCAGCAGUGGGGAAUCUUGCGCAAUGGGCGAAAGCCUGACGCAGCGACGCCGCGUGCGGGAAGAAGGCCUUCGGGUUGUAAACCGCUUUCAGGGGGGAAGAAGCGAAAGUGACGGUACCUCCAGAAGAAGGACCGGCCAACUACGUGCCAGCAGCCGCGGUAAUACGUAGGGUCCGAGCGUUGUCCGGAAUUAUUGGGCGUAAAGAGCUCGUAGGCGGUCCAUUAAGUCGACUGUGAAAUCUCACGGCUCAACCGUGAAACUGCAGUUGAUACUGGUGGACUUGAGGCAGGUAGAGGAAGGUGGAAUUCCUGGUGUAGCGGUGGAAUGCGCAGAUAUCAGGAGGAACACCAGUGGCGAAGGCGGCCUUCUGGGCCUUGCCUGACGCUGAGGAGCGAAAGCGUGGGGAGCGAACAGGCUUAGAUACCCUGGUAGUCCACGCCGUAAACGAUGGGUGCUAGGUGUAGGGGGUUAUCCACUC